rnacentral:rRNA from 1 species
CCUGGUAGCGGGGGAUAACUAUUGGAAACGAUAGCUAAUACCGCAUGAGAGUAGAUGUUGCAUGACAUUUGCUUAAAAGGUGCAAUUGCAUCACUACCAGAUGGACCUGCGUUGUAUUAGCUAGUUGGUGGGGUAACGGCUCACCAAGGCGACGAUACAUAGCCGACCUGAGAGGGUGAUCGGCCACACUGGGACUGAGACACGGCCCAG